GAGAGGGAGGGGGGAGAGGAGAGAGAGCGCGAGCGCGAGCGAGCGAGAGAAGAGAAAGAGAGCAGAGAGCGAGAGGAGAGCGAGAUAUAGCGAAACCGAGGGGGAGAGAACCCGAGUGUGUGUAUGCGUGUGCGUGUGUGAGCGCGAGCGAGCUUGCGAGGGAGAGGAGCGAGAGAGUGCGAGCGAGAAAGAAUAAAAGGAAAGAAGAUUUUCUCUAUGUAUAUAAAGAUGGCCACGUUAGCAAACGGACAGGCUGACAACGCGAGCCUCAGUACCAACGGGCUCGGUAGCAGCCCGGGCAGCGCCGGGCACAUGAACGGAUUAAGCCACAGCCCGGGGAACCCGUCGACCAUUCCCAUGAAGGACCACGAUGCCAUCAAGCUGUUCAUUGGGCAGAUCCCCCGCAACCUGGAUGAGAAGGACCUCAAGCCCCUCUUCGAGGAGUUCGGCAAGAUCUACGAGCUUACGGUUCUGAAGGACAGGUUCACAGGCAUGCACAAAGGCUGCGCUUUCCUCACCUACUGCGAGCGUGAGUCAGCGCUGAAGGCCCAGAGCGCGCUGCACGAGCAGAAGACGCUGCCCGGGAUGAACCGGCCGAUCCAGGUGAAGCCUGCGGACAGCGAGAGCCGAGGAGGUAGUAGCUGCCUGCGCCAGCCCCCUUCACAAGAUAGAAAACUCUUCGUGGGCAUGCUCAACAAGCAGCAGUCUGAGGACGACGUGCGCCGCCUCUUCGAGGCCUUCGGGAACAUCGAGGAGUGUACCAUCCUGCGCGGGCCGGACGGCAACAGCAAGGGGUGUGCCUUUGUGAAGUACUCCUCCCAUGCCGAGGCGCAAGCCGCCAUCAACGCGCUGCACGGCAGCCAGACCAUGCCGGGAGCCUCAUCCAGUCUGGUGGUCAAGUUCGCCGACACUGACAAGGAGCGCACGAUGCGGCGAAUGCAGCAGAUGGCUGGCCAAAUGGGCAUGUUCAACCCCAUGGCCAUCCCGUUCGGGGCCUACGGCGCCUACGCACAAGCACUGAUGCAGCAGCAAGCGGCACUAAUGGCAUCAGUCGCGCAGGGUGGCUACCUGAACCCCAUGGCUGCCUUCGCCGCCGCCCAGAUGCAGCAGAUGGCGGCCCUCAACAUGAAUGGCUUGGCGGCCGCACCCAUGACCCCAACCUCAGGUGGCAGCACCCCUCCGGGCAUCACUGCACCAGCCGUGCCUAGCAUCCCGUCCCCCAUCGGGGUGAACGGCUUCACUGGCCUUCCCCCACAGGCCAAUGGACAACCUGCUGCAGAAGCUGUGUUUGCGAAUGGCAUCCAUCCGUACCCAGCACAGAGCCCCACCGCCGCGGACCCCCUGCAGCAGGCCUACGCUGGAGUGCAGCAGUAUGCAGGUCCAGCCGCCUACCCUGCUGCCUAUGGUCAGAUAAGCCAGGCCUUUCCUCAGCCACCUCCAAUGAUCCCACAGCAACAGAGAGAAGGGCCCGAGGGCUGUAACCUGUUCAUCUACCAUCUGCCCCAGGAGUUUGGGGACGCUGAGCUGAUGCAGAUGUUCCUCCCUUUCGGUAAUGUCAUCUCCUCGAAAGUGUUUGUGGAUCGGGCGACUAACCAAAGUAAAUGCUUUGGCUUCGUGAGCUUCGACAACCCGGCCAGCGCGCAGACCGCCAUCCAGGCCAUGAACGGCUUCCAGAUCGGCAUGAAGAGGCUCAAAGUGCAGCUGAAGCGGCCCAAAGACGCCAAUCGCCCAUACUGAGCGCCGGCGGGAGCGUCCCCCGGGGGAGACCAGGACUCGCACAGGGCCAGUCAAAUCCACCACAGUCUCGCGCUGAGCUAGGAAUAAAGUUCACGUAAUCACAUGAGAGUGGAGAAAACAGUCCCCCAUCCGGCAGGAUGCUGAAUGGGCUACAUUAAAAAACAAACCUCUCUCUCUCUCUAUUUAUAAAUGAGAACUGUUGGAUGACACCUUUGACAUAUCAGCCAAUAUCAAUCAAGCUGAGGACUCCAGACACUCUCUGUGACUGUAACAUUUCUUCAAGGAAAGUAUAGCGUCUGUGGAGUUCAGAGGGCACGUGUUUGGGGGAAAAUACAUAUGACAUAAAGAAGAAGAAGAUGAAGAAAAAUGAGGAAACAAAACAAAACAAAACAAAAAAGGCAACUUUUAAAACAAACUAACUUGCGACCAGAUGGGGAGGCUGAAGGGCUGGGAACUGGGAAGAGACGCUGCUUACCGAUCCCCGGGGCUUUUCCAGCCCGUGGGCGCCUGAGGCAGGCUGGGGCAAGCGGUGUGGUGGGACCUGGUCCCCAGGGGGCGGCUGGGAGGUCGCCACCGAGCAUCUCUAUCUGUCAUUCCUUUAGCUAUUUAGGGACCAAAGGACCAAACUUUUUAUUGCAGAUGUGUAGCUCUAUGUCCAAUAGAGGGGGAACGGAGGAGAACCUCCUUCCUGCCUUCUGGCUGUUCUUGAAACAGCUUAGAGCGAUUCUAUGAAAAAAGUAAUAAAAAAUUAAAAAAAAAACAAAAAAAAAACAAAACCAUAAAAAAAGGAAAAAAAUUAUGCUUCAAUGCUUUUAAAACAGCAAGGUAAUAGUUCUUUGAUACUUUGAGAGGCGCUUUGAUUACCCUCAUUCAAGUCUAUGACACUUUCCUAUGGUUUUCUGUAUUAUAUGUCUGGUUGGAGCUGUUGAGAUAAACAAGUUGGUGGAUAUUUGGGGAAAGCAACAAAAAUAUUAAAACUCAUUAACUGUGAAGUGUGAGAAAACAAGGAGGGGAAGAAAAGGGACUUAUAAGGCAAGAUAUUUGUUGUGAAAAGUCUGUAAAUGCUUCUAACUUUUCCCCCUCUUAAAAAUCAUAAUAGUUGUACAGAAUUUUAAAAAGGAGAAGUUUAAAAUACCUAUAUAAUAGAAGAAAAAUUAGAGGAAAGCAAAAAAUAAAAAAAUAAAAAAUAAAAAAGGAAAAAAAAAACCUAUAGAAGUUAGCGUUACUGCUAAAAUCCCAGAUGUUGUAGGACUGUACUUUUGUAGAGUUUAGACUGAGCAUCAACCCCUUGUCCCCGCGAGUGCUGUCGGACGACGCCGUUGACCCCGAGGGCCAGGCCGGACUUGCCCUGACCUGCGGGCUCCUGGCUGCCCACUGCCGGUGGAGGCCGCGCCAUCAGCCAGAAGGCCCGCUGUAGCCGCCCUCGCCUCGCCUCGCCUCGCCUCGCCUCCUCGCCUCGCCUCGCCUCGUCUCGCCUCGCUUCGCUCCCGGGAGCUGCGCGCUCGCCCGCUCUCCGCAAGCCCUGACACCUUCCGCUUCACUCGCCUUCCAUGCUUGCUCCAGAGACUUUCCGGGCAAGGGAGACCUGGGAACUUUCAUCUUAAAACAACAAAACAACACACACACACACAAAAACCUUAAACAAGAGAGAGAAAAAUAAACAAUCUUUGAAGAAUUUCUGAAACUGUUUACAAGGAAUUUUGAAAAACAGGGAUGUUUAAAUGAUGCCGGCUCUGUUUUUCUGUAAAUAAAUUUGCAUAUUUUGUAGGACUUUUAAUUGUAAUGAUAGAGAAAAAAACAAGGAAACUAUUUAAUGAAAGCACGAUAUUUAUCUUUGGUAAAUGACUUUAGAGCAGUUAAAAAAGACAUUGCUUAAAAAACUCAGAAUCAGAAAAAAACACUGAAUUAUUUAAGAACACAUAUAUUUUAAAGUAUAACAUAUUUAUUAUAAUUUAUUUGCACCGUUGGGAAGACUUGCUUUGGCAUUCUGCCUCAAUCCCUCCUUUCAUUGACGCCCAAUUCAUCUGGAGGCCGGGGGGCUCUUGGACCUACCAUUUUUUUCCUUUUUUAUUUGAGAAGAACAACUGGUUCCUCUCAGGCCUCCUGUCUUUCUUUCUGUUUUGUUGAUUAAUUAUUAUUUAAAUUUUUUUUUCUUCCUCUUGGCUCCUCCUUUUAGGAUGUCCAGAUGUUGUAAAAAAAAAAAAAACAGCUGCAGUUCAGUACAACUGCUCUUUUCACACUCAACUCCCUAAAACUCCUUGUAACCUGUAACUAUUGGAUGACGCUUUCUCCAGCUUAGCCCUAAAUAAA